rnacentral:precursor_RNA from 17 species
GAGAUGUCAGAAAACAGGCCCUGAUCUCCUGUGCCUACUGAACUGAUAUCAGUGAGUUAUGAAAGUGCUGGCUCAGUUCAGCAGGAACUGGAGUCUGGCCUAACGAUAUCCUGUGGAGGA